rnacentral:misc_RNA from 1 species
GUGAAUCAUCGAAUCUUUGAACGCAAAUUGCACUCUCCUCGGAGAGUAUGCCUGUUUGAGGGUCAGCCUAAAAAAAAAAAUCGACAUCGUUGCUGUUUCGCGGUGACGUUAGUCGGAAAUUUGUUCGUUUUAAACCUUUUGGUUUUUAAGCUACUUAAAAUUUUCUUUUGACCCCCUGAACGUUUCUAAGUUUUAUAUCUUUACACGUUUAAGGGUAUCGAUUUUAUUAGACGUGGACGUCAUAACAGAUCGCGUCCAUAAUCUUUCAUUCA